CAGCAUUCAGAAGCGAGAAUGUUGACAUGAGUAGCGACAAAGCGGGUGAGAGACCCGCUCGCCGAAAGUCCAAGGGUUCCUGCUUAAAGCUAAUCUGAGCAGGGUGAGCCGACCCCUAAGGCGAGGCCGAAAGGCGUAGUCGAUGGGAACCAGGUUAAUAUUCCUGGGCCAGGAGGAAGUGACGGAUCGCAGAGCUUGUUCGACCUUAUCGGAUUGGUCGGGCCUGUGAGCGGUUCCUGGAAAUAGCCCUCCAUGAGAUCGUACCCUAAACCGACACAGGUGGACUGGUAGAGCAUACCAAGGCGCUUGAGAGAACUACGUUGAAGGAACUCGGCAAAAUACCUCCGUAACGUCGGGAGAAGGAGGCCCCGUUGGCGCGCAAGCGUUGGCGGGGGGCACAAACCAGGGGGUGGCGACUGUUUACUAAAAACACAGGACUCUGCGAAGCCCAAAGGCGACGUAUAGGGUCUGACGCCUGCCCGGUGCCGGAAGGUUAAAAGGAGGGGUGCAAGCUCCGAAUUGAAGCCCCGGUAAACGGCGGCCGUAACAAUAACGGUCCUAAGGUAGCGAAAUUCCUUGUCGGGUAAGUUCCGACCUGCACGAAUGGCGUAACGACUUCCCCGCUGUCUCCAACGUAGACUCAGCGAAAUUGAAUUCCCCGUGAAGAUGCGGGGUUCCCGCGGUCAGACGGAAAGACCCCGUGCACCUUUACUACAGCUUCACACUGGCAUCAGGCCAGGCAUGUGCAGGAUAGGUGGUAGGCUUUGAAACAGGGACGCCAGUUCCUGCGGAGCCACCCUUGAGAUACCACCCUUGCCUUGCCUGAUGUCUAACCGCGGACCGUCAUCCGGUUCCGGGACCUUGUGUGGUGGGUAGUUUGACUGGGGCGGUCGCCUCCCAAAGAGUAACGGAGGCGCGCGAUGGUGGGCUCAGGUUGGUCGGAAAUCAACCGUCGAGUGCAAUGGCAUAAGCCCGCCUGACUGCGAGACUGACAAGUCGAGCAGAGACGAAAGUCGGCCAUAGUGAUCCGGUGGUCCCGCGUGGAAGGGCCAUCGCUCAACGGAUAAAAGGUACGCCGGGGAUAACAGGCUGAUACUGCCCAAGAGUCCAUAUCGACGGCAGUGUUUGGCACCUCGAUGUCGGCUCAUCACAUCCUGGGGCUGGAGAAGGUCCCAAGGGUACGGCUGUUCGCCGUUUAAAGUGGUACGUGAGCUGGGUUUAGAACGUCGUGAGACAGUUCGGUCCCUAUCUGCCGUGGGUGUCGGAGACUUGAGAGGAGUUGCCCCUAGUACGAGAGGACCGGGGUGAACGCACCACUGGUGGACCUGUUGUCGUGCCAACGGCAGUGCAGGGUAGCUAUGUGCGGACAGGAUAACCGCUGAAGGCAUCUAAGCGGGAAGCCCCCCUCAAAACCAGGUCUCCCUUGAGGGCCGUGGAAGACCACCACGUCAUAGGCCGGAGGUACAAGCGCGGUAACGCGUUCAGCUGACCGGUACUAAUCGCCC
rnacentral:rRNA from 1 species